UAUAUACUCCAUCCGUCCCAAAAUUCUUGUCUUAGGUUUGUUUAGAAAUAGAUGUAUCUAAAUACUAAAAUGUGACUAGAUACAUUCAUAUCUACACAAAUCUAAGACCAGAAUUUUAGGACGGAGGGAGUAUAUU
rnacentral:pre_miRNA from 1 species